rnacentral:rRNA from 1 species
CCCUUCGGGGCGAAGAUAAGACGGAUUAGCGGCGGACGGGUGAGUAACACGUGAGUAACCUGCCUUUUACACAGGGAUAGCCUCGGGAAACCGGGAUUAAAACCUGAUGAAACUAUCAAAUCACAUGAUUAAGAAAGUUAAAACUCCGGUGGUAAAAGAUGACUCGCGUCCCAUUAGCUAGUUGGUGAAGGUAACGGCCCACCAAGGCAACGAUGGGUAGCCGGCCUGAGAGGGUGAACGGCCACAUUGUAACUGAGAAACGGUCCAAACUCCUACGGGAGGCAGCAGGA